CGGAAUCUGCCUAUUUGUGGGGGAUAACGUAGGGAAACUUACGCUAAUACCGCAUACGACCUACGGGUGAAAGCGGAGGACCUUCGGGCUUCGCGCAGAUAGAUGAGCCGAUGUCGGAUUAGCUAGUUGGCGGGGUAAAGGCCCACCAAGGCGACGAUCCGUAGCUGGUCUGAGAGGAUGAUCAGCCACACUGGAACUGAGACACGGUCCAGACUCCUACGGGAGGCAGCAGUGGGGAAUAUUGGACAAUGGGCGCAAGCCUGAUCCAGCCAUGCCGCGUGGGUGAAGAAGGCCUUCGGGUUGUAAAGCCCCUUUGUUGGGAAAGAAAAGCAGUUGGUUAAUACCCGAUUGUUCUGACGGUACCCAAAGAAUAAGCACCGGCUAACUUCGUGCCAGCAGCCGCGGUAAUACGAAGGGUGCAAGCGUUACUCGGAAUUACUGGGCGUAAAGCGUGCGUAGGUGGUUUGUUAAGUCUGAUGUGAAAGCCCUGGGCUCAACCUGGGAAUUGCAUUGGAUACUGGCAGGCUAGAGUGCGGUAGAGGGUAGUGGAAUUCCCGGU
rnacentral:rRNA from 1 species